UCUCUCUCUCUCUCUCUCUCUCUCUCUCUCUCUCUCUCUCUCUCUCUGUAACAUGGGUAUCCAACCACACCACAGAACUCCCUACAGGGCCAAGAGGAAACACCUAUGUCUUGUUGUGGGUCUAAUUGUGUGUCCCUUCCCCCAAAGGCCCAACCCCGUUUCUGAAAGGCGUGUCCUUUAGAAACAGGGACCAUGGAAGUAAAACAUUUAGGAUGAUGCCAUGGAGUAGAGAGGUCCUUAAUUCAGGACAACUGGUGUUCUUCCAAGAAGAAACUUGGACACAGUCACAGAAGACACCAUGGAAACAGGCAGGGGCUGGAGGGAUACAAAGAAAAGCCAAAGGUUUCCAAGGACAGAGGCCAGCCACCCCUGAAGUCAAGAGAGGAAGAUUGGUUGGACACAGGGUCUCAGAUGGAGCACAGCCCUGCUGAAGCCUUCAUUCAGAUUGCUGGCCCUUGGGACUAUGAAAAGACCAUUUUCUGUUGCUUUAAACUGUCCAAUUUGGGGACUCUUUCCCAGUUGCCCUGGAAGUCACAGGCGUUUUUAACAGUAUAGCUUCUGGGACAGGAGAGCCCUCCUCUGCCUCAGCUGACACAGAGGUACCUGGCUAGCCCCAUGUCACUGCUCUCAGCAGGGACUGGGGUUCCUGCACCCAGCCUCCCCUAGUCUCCUGGGAUCCGCAACUUCCUCAGAGGACACAUAAAGAGUCUGGGCUGGAAUCUGAACCCACGGCGAAUCCUCUGAAUGCUGAAGGAUGUCACAUAUCCCAAAUUGGCCUUGGAUUCCAGACCUUCCUGCCUAAUCCUACAAGUGGGCUUCUUCACAGCCUCCAAGAGAAAGACCUUUCCCUGCGAUGCAACUCUCUUCAGGCUGGGGGAAGAACAAUUUAACUUCGGCUGCUGGCUGUUGCAACUCCGCAGGUUCCUUCCCACCUAUGCACCUAGGCAGAGCUGGAAGGAGAACAGCUAUGGCGCUGGAGGGCAGCUGCCCCGGACUCUGGUUUCUGGUUCUGGCUGCACGGCUAGAAGGUUGGACUCCUGCUUCAAUCUAGGAGCACCCGCUUUUCAUCUGGGAAAUGGUGCGAGCCUCUGAGGAAUUAUCUGUGGAAAUUCACAAGAAAGCAUCCAGCCGGUAGCAGGUGCUAGGUGGAAGCCGGCCCCCAGUCACUCUUAGUUCCAAGCAUCCAGUUCUGUUCGGUCCAGGUCAGUGAGUCCAGCCUCCCAGGCGUCGUGAAUCUGCUAGGGUCAAUGCUUCAGGGUACCAGGGUCUUUCAGUCGGCACUGAAAUCUUCCUAGACUCUUAGGUCCCACAGAACUUCCUGGCUUAGAGGGACAGGAGAUGCCUCAGGUUUCUUGGGCUUUCCUAAAUUUGGACAAGCACGGGGUUGUGUGAGCGGCGGGGGGUAGGGAGGAUAGGGUACUGGGGAGGUGGUGGUGCUAAAUACCUGCAUUUUAAAAUGGUUCUACCACUUUCUGGCUCAGAGACCUGAGGAAAUGACUCCUGCUUGAGCCUGGGUUUCACUAUCUAUGGAAAAUGGGGGCAAAACUAAAUUUCUAGUGAGCCUUCCCUGGUCACACCACCCCAAACCUAAAGGAAUCUAAACAGGAUCACUAGUGAGCACCCCCCAGCUCCACUUACAUCUCUGAAACCACUUUUGUGGGCUCGCCUGCGAAAAGCAAAAGUCUCAAACACUUCCACCUUCCAGAGAUGACUUAGACUAAACUACCCUUUCCUCAGAGCUGCCUCAAGUUGAGGCGUGGGGUGGAUGUGGAGGCUACAAGACCUUUCAGGGUAAGAUUAGGGACUCACCCACUCCAUCUUGCAGACCACUGGGCUCCAUUUUCUGUCUUUCGAAAUUUCCUGCUCAGACUCUAUUGAUUUUCUGACUGCUCAUGGAGCGCCAGUGCCUGGAGCAUUCGGGGAAGCGUCCAACCACAGGCUCUUCUGGUUGACUCAGGAAGGCUCUGAGAAGGUGUGAACAAAACCCUCCCUAGAUAGAUCCAAGGAUGGCGAAGGCCCCGGGAGAGCUAUGCACAGCACCCUUGAGGUGGCUUUCUUUCCUGAACCAGAAGUCUGGAGGGUAAGGUGUAAGAGGGUAGGAGUUGCCAGCAGGAGUGUGCAUCUCAGAAGAGACAGCUGGAAUCCAGGGCAUGAGCCAUCAGCCUCUGCUGAAGACACUCUGCCUGCAGUCCUGUCACCCUUGCAGUUUCUGGUCACCUUUGUCACCUUCCAAAUGUUCUACAAUCACCAGCUAUAUUUUUAGCUAGGACCUUUGAGGCAGUCAGGUAUGAAUUCACCUGCUAGAAGGAACUUCCUAUACUAUCAUAGCCCUGUCGCCUUCCUUUUGUGUCUCAAGGAAGACCCUACCCUACAGGAAAGCGCACGAGUGGUCCAUGGUUCCGUUGUGGAAGCCGGGAUCCAGGAAUAUGGAAAAUCUAGUAGAUGGAAAACAAGCAGGAGAGAAGGAAAGGGAUGGAAGACCCCAAAGACAGGGCACACUGUCCAGGAGGGAAGCCUGCUCUCUUCCGGAAGUCGCUAGCUCCCUCCAGGAAGAACUAGCUGGGGUCAAAUUAGUCUCUUGCAGACUUGAAGGGUGAAUCAGAGUGAAUCACUCUGUGGGGGCGGAAUGCAAGAGCUUUAAAGAAAGCAGAAGCUUGAGGCGAGGUGAGCCAACAACCAAAGGAGAUAAGAA